rnacentral:rRNA from 1 species
UACGUAGGGUGCAAGCGUUAAUCGGAAUUACUGGGCGUAAAGCGUGCGCAGGCGGUUUUGUAAGACAGAGGUGAAAUCCCCGGGCUCAACCUGGGAACUGCAUUUGUGACUGCAUAGCUAGAGUACGGUAGAGGGGGAUGGAAUUCCGCGUGUAGCAGUGAAAUGCGUAGAUAUGCGGAGGAACACCGAUGGCGAAGGCAAUCCCCUGGACCUGUACUGACGCUCAUGCACGAAAGCGUGGGGAGCAAACAGG